UAACGAAUCUUCCGCAAUGGGCGAAAGCCUGACGGAGCAAUGCCGCGUGUGGGAUGAAGCGCCUUCGGCGUGUAAACCACUGUCAGGGAAUGGAACCAAUGAUUAUUCCCAAAGGAAGUGGCGACUAACUCUGUGCCAGCAGUCGCGGUAAUACAGAGGCCACAAGCGUUAGUCGGAAUCACUGGGCUUAAAGGGUGCGUAGGCGGGCCCGCAAGCGUCUUGUGAAAUCCCAUGGCUCAACCAUGGAAUUGCAGGGCGAACUGCGGGUCUUGAGGCAGGUAGGGGCCGGAAGAACAGUAGGUGGAGCGGUGAAAUGCGUAGAUAUCUACUGGAAUGCCGAUGGGGAAGCCGUCCGGCUGGGCCUGUCCUGACGCUGAGGCACGAAAGCGUGGGGAGCAAACAGGAUUAGAUACCCUUGUAGUCCCUGAGCGGGCUGGCAAGGCGCAU
rnacentral:rRNA from 1 species